AGGGAUCGUUUCGGCUGUUGGUUGCUUGCUUGGCGUUGCCAUGUGGGUUGUUGAUAGCCUGGUGUUCUUUGRGAAUGUCAACCGUAAAGAUGAAUAAGUGGUGUUUGGUUUGUUACGGGUGGUUGGAUGUCUGCUUGUGCAGCAACUUCCAUGCGUGCAUGCCUCUUCAGUAGUGCUACAAUGCUUUAUYUGCGUUGUGCAUUUGGCAGGGUUUCUGUAUUGCAUACCGAAUGAUGGUAUCGUGUGGCUAGAUGAAAGUUUAUUUUCGUUAUUCGUUGCUUGCGGCGAUGAACGAACCUGGAAGCGGUCUCUAUGUUCCAAGCUAUCUUUGCCRAAGCAUUGGUUGUAUGGCCCAUGGAGCGUCGCUUGGUCUCUUGGAUAUGGAACGUGAUGUGGGUUUUAGGGUUUUUAUURAUCCUAUAUUUUCCCCUGUUUAGCGUUCUCGCUUCUCCAAACGACCGUCCAUCAUGUGUCGGCAUGUUCGUGCAUGGUGGGCUGUGUCGAAGAGGAAUGC
rnacentral:misc_RNA from 1 species